GACGAACGCUGGCGGCGUGCUUAACACAUGCAAGUCGAACGGAAAGGCCCUGCUUGCAGGGUACUCGAGUGGCGAACGGGUGAGUAACACGUGGGUGAUCUGCCCUGCACUUCGGGAUAAGCCUGGGAAACUGGGUCUAAUACCGGAUAGGAGCCAUUUUUAGUGUGAUGGUUGGAAAGUUUUUUCGGUGUAGGAUGAGCUCGCGGCCUAUCAGCUUGUUGGUGGGGUAAUGGCCUACCAAGGCGGCGACGGGUAGCCGGCCUGAGAGGGUGGACGGCCACAUUGGGACUGAGAUACGGCCCAGACUCCUACGGGAGGCAGCAGGGGGGAAUAUUGCACAAUGGGCGCAAGCCUGAUGCAGCGACGCCGCGUGGGGGAUGACGGCCUUCGGGUUGGAAACUCCUUUCGCUAGGGACGAAGCUUUUUGUGACGGUACCUAGAGAAGAAGCACCGGCUAACUACGUG
rnacentral:rRNA from 1 species